GAAAUUGAACUCGCUGUGAAGAUGCAGUGUACCCGCGGCAAGACGGAAAGACCCCGUGAACCUUUACUAUAGCUUGACACUGAACAUUGAGCCUUGAUGUGUAGGAUAGGUGGGAGGCUUUGAAGUGUGGACGCCAGUCUGCAUGGAGCCGACCUUGAAAUACCACCCUUUAAUGUUUGAUGUUCUAACGUGGACCCGUGAUCCGGGUUGCGGACAGUGUCUGGUGGGUAGUUUGACUGGGGCGGUCUCCUCCUAAAGAGUAACGGAGGAGCACGAAGGUUGGCUAAUCCUGGUCGGACAUCAGGAGGUUAGUGCAAUGGCAUAAGCCAGCUUGACUGCGAGCGUGACGGCGCGAGCAGGUGCGAAAGCAGGUCAUAGUGAUCCGGUGGUUCUGAAUGGAAGGGCCAUCGCUCAACGGAUAAAAGGUACUCCGGGGAUAACAGGCUGAUACCGCCCAAGAGUUCAUAUCGACGGCGGUGUUUGGCACCUCGAUGUCGGCUCAUCACAUCCUGGGGCUGAAGUAGGUCCCAAGGGUAUGGCUGUUCGCCAUUUAAAGUGGUACGCGAGCUGGGUUUAGAACGUCGUGAGACAGUUCGGUCCCUAUCUGCCGUGGGCGCUGGAGAACUGAGGGGGGCUGCUCCUAGUACGAGAGGACCGGAGUGGACGCAUCACUGGUGUUCGGGUUGUCAUGCCAAUGGCACUGCCCGGUAGCUAAAUGCGGAAGAGAUAAGUGCUGAAAGCAUCUAAGCACGAAACUUGCCCCGAGAUGAGUUCUCCCUGACCCUUUAAGGGUCCUGAAGGAACGUUGAAGACGACGACGUUGAUAGGCCGGGUGUGUAAGCGCAGCGAUGCGUUGAGCUAACCGGUACUAAUGAACCGUGAGGCUUAACCUUACAACGCCGAAGGUGUUU
rnacentral:rRNA from 1 species